rnacentral:tRNA from 1 species
GGGUGACGAGCGGUCAACCACGGUCACUCACGACCUCGCUGACAUCCCCUGCGACCAGCAACGCCCUGCAAGAGGGACCGUGAUCGAUGCAGUUCCCAAGCUGACAGCGCGGGUUCGAUUCCCGUCACCCGCUCCA